CCUGGCGGCAGUAGCGCGGUGGUCCCACCUGACCCCAUGCCGAACUCAGAAGUGAAACGCCGUAGCGCCGAUGGUAGUGUGGGGUCUCCCCAUGCGAGAGUAGGGAACUGCCAGNU
rnacentral:rRNA from 1 species